AGCCUCUCCUUUGUAAGUCUUGUGGCUUGCAGGUUGCUUUGUCAUUAGAAAAAAGCACCCUCAUUAAAAAGCUAGCGUGGUGCUGAAACAGAAGGCAUCAGAGUAGGAGAAUCUACUGGAAGUCUUUUAGCAAUUACCUAGGUGAAGAUACAGCUGAUCAUUUGCAAAGAAGCAUGGGCAGUUCUUAACAUGGAAACUGGGACAUUCAUCAACACAAAAAUACUAGAAAUAUCCCUGAAGUCUUUCUUUGUUGUAUUCCCUUACUAGUUUUGCUAUGUCAGAUUACAGCACUACAGAGGUUUAGGACUGUUGUACGAUGGAGGAAAGCACAAGUUGGUCUUAACAUGUAAGGAGUGACAAAAUGAUUCAGGCUGGAGUUUCUGUGUUUCAGAGUUCUCACCACGCUGGGUGCUUGCAUUGUAACCCUCUGAGGAGCUGUGAAUCAGUGUGCAAGGACAACAUGGGGGAAGAGGCAUGCAGGAAAGGAACCUUUAAAAGUUCUGUUUGCAGUGUUACUUUCUGAAUACUGAGCCAACGACCAAUGCUCCAAGCACUCAGUCUCCCUGGUCCUAGAGUGGAAGGCUUUCUGUGGACUGACUGCACAGCCAUUGAGCUAAAGUGGAGACAGGAACAAAUCCAAGUUUGCCAGCUUUCUUCUUUACCUGAGUAAUGACCACCAGGAGGGGCUUCACAGCAGCUUGUUUUGUUCCUAGAUCCAGAAAAAUAUGUGCAUUUGCCUACAAGGACAGUGUGCAUUUUAAGCAUAGCCAAGAGACAGGUGAUUAAACUGACUAGAGAGUCUCUGUCCCACUCAGAAGAGGCCUCCAGGUCAGAGGUGUAUUAAUGAGAGAACGGCUGGAGGAUGAUGAGCUGAUCCUGCAGCCUCCAACAGCACUGAAUGGACUACAAGGACUCUGUAGAAAAUAACUCCCAGCUAAUAACUGUACAAAUCAUCCUGCAGAGCCAGCUGUUACCAGGACUGCAAGCAUUCCUGUUGUUUGUUUUUGGAGGAGGCCCUGUGUGCUUGUGUCAAAGCCCAGACCAUGUACAAAUUCCCCAGUGGUCACUGUGAAGAACACCAUGAUAUUUUAAACAUACAGUAAUCAAAUUUACAUCAGUUUCUUCCAGGACUCAUAUCCUGUGCCAGCAGAAGUGGAAGAGAUACUGUUUUGUACAGAGCUUCUCUGAUCAGUAUUCUUGAUGUGUAUCCUAGUGAUAGGAAGUAGCAAUAAUCAUAAUAAUAUUAAAACUCCCAUAUACUACGAAGCUAAGUGUUAAAGGGGAUAAAGCUAAGCAUGGGUAGCCAGCUGGGUAGUACCAGCUACUAUUUUCAGUAGUAAGCAUGUUAUGCAUGUUGGGCAUGUCAUACACUGACUGACACUUUGAUUCUGAAAGGGAUUUCCAGGCCUAUCUUGGGUAUUUUUAGCAAAAGUGGAUGAAAAACAUAAUGUAAAACAAGAAUAGAUUUUCCUAUUGUUUAUAGAGACAGUUUUGAUUUCCUAGGAGUAAGCAGAGGGCAUGAGGGUAAUAAUUGACUUGAAGAAAGAAUGUGAAUUAGAAAGGGCAAUAAUCCUUGGAGCUUGCCCUGCUGCUGGAAAGCAGUGGGUUUCCUUCUGGCCAGAGCAAAGUUUUCAGUGAGAUUGGACACAUCAAAGCAGGUUACAAAGACCAGACUGCUGGUUUCCCUAAAAAACACCCUGCAGAUGUUUGAGCACACAUUAACAGAACUCUUUCUUAAAAGUCCAGCUACAACAAAUUGUAUCAAAUAACUACAAGCAGUUUCAUUGCUUGGUGCCCUGAUCUUCCCUGCAAAUUAUUUGGGCAGAGUCCAAGUAUGAGAAAUACCUGCAAAACCUAGUAAUGUAUCCUUGCAGAAACUGAUCCAACACUAGAAAGAGGAAUUCCAAUACAACUGGUAAAUGUAAAAGGGAUUUCUUUGUCAUACUUGCCAUCCAUACAAAUGGGUGGGUUACCCAACUACCCAAACUUUAUCUGUCCAUACCCCCUCAGUAAAACUCUCCAGCUCAAUUGCCACAUGUAAUAGUCUACUCCCAUAAUCAUCUCUUAUUUUUCUCCUUCCAGGUUUCCAUGUCAGUGCAUAAGUUUUUAAAUAAUUUGAUAAUUUUCAUAACCUGCUUUGACUUGAUUCUCUAACCUGUAUUUUAAGAAGCAGUUCAUCAGUGUGGGUGACUCCAUGGUAGCCUCACCUGAAAACUUUCCAGGUUUCCUAAAUUCCACUGUCUUGCCCAUGUUUAUUAUUAUAACUUCAUAGCAACUAUGUCCAUAUGCAGAAUGAUGAAAGAGUGGGUUUUUUUUCAUUAUCUGACUAGAAUAUUGCUGAAGAAGCAAUGAAGCUUGUGUAUUAAGAAAAGACAGAACAGGGAUAUCCGAGCAUGUACAGUGGGGGAAUAAGAAAUGAAUUUUACAGCAUCCUUCAGAAAUUUUAUCAUAAGGAAAACUUGUCUUUGAAACCUUCUCUUCCUGAGUGGGAAAAUAAUAUAUAUGUGAAAAUCAUGGGUUUUCUUGGCUUCUGGUAUCACCAGAGUUUUUAUUUCCAGACAAGUUUUGCAUUCAAGCUAUUCACCUGGAGUGAAGGGCUACCUAAUUGAGUCUGCACAUAUGGAUUAUGCAUCCUACAUGAAAGUCUUUGAUCCAUGAGAAAACAUUUGUUGAUCUGUUUUGCACUGUAUCUUGCAAUGAAUGCUUUUGCAUAUAUGUAUUGUAUUGCAUUUAUGUAUAUGUGUAUAUAUAUAUUGUAUUUAUGUAUCUGAUGUCUAAAAAAAGAAUUUACUGGAUAACACUUGAGUGAAUAAACUGAAAAAUUAACAGAUA